rnacentral:rRNA from 1 species
UACGGAGGGUGCAAGCGUUAUCCGGAUUCACUGGGUUUAAAGGGUGCGUAGGAGGACUGGUAAGUCAGUGGUGAAAUCCCCGAGCUUAACUUGGGAACUGCCGUUGAUACUAUCAGUCUUGAAUACCGUGGAGGUGAGCGGAAUAUGUCAUGUAGCGGUGAAAUGCUUAGAUAUGACAUAGAACACCAAUUGCGAAGGCAGCUCGCUACGCGAAUACUGACUCUGAGGCACGAAAGCGUGGGGAGCAAACAGG